UCAUGGCAGUGGAAACUGUUGGGCUUGAGUGUGGUAGGGGCAGAGGGAAUUCCCGGUGUAGCGGUGAAAUGCGUAGAUAUCGGGAAGAACACCAGUGGCGAAGGCGCUCUGCUGGGCCCAUCACUGACGCUCAUGGACGAAAGCCAGGGGAGCGAAAGGGAUUAGAUACCCCUGUAGUCCUGGCCGUAAACGAUGAACACUAGGUGUCGGGGGAAUCGACCCCCUCGGUGUCGUAGCCAACGCGUUAAGUGUUCCGCCUGGGGAGUACGCACGCAAGUGUGAAACUCAAAGGAAUUGACGGGGGCCCGCACAAGCGGUGGAGUAUGUGGUUUAAUUCGAUGCAACGCGAAGAACCUUACCAGGGUUUGACAUCCUGCGAAUCUCUUGGAAACGAGAGAGUGCCUUCGGGAACGCAGUGACAGGUGGUGCAUGGCUGUCGUCAGCUCGUGUCGUGAGAUGUUGGGUUAAGUCCCGCAACGAGCGCAACCCACGUCUUUAGUUGCCAGCAUUUAGUUGGGCACUCUAGAGAGACCGCCGGUGAUAAACCGGAGGAAGGUGUGGAUGACGUCAAGUCAUCAUGCCCCUUACAUCCUGGGCUACACACGUACUACAAUGCUACGGACAAAGGGCAGCAAGUUCGCGAGGACAAGCAAAUCCCAUAAACCGUGGCUCAGUUCAGAUCGUAGGCUGCAACUCGCCUACGUGAAGGAGGAAUCGCUAGUAAUCGCAGGUCAGCAUACUGCGGUGAAUACGUUCCCGGGCCUUGUACACACCGCCCGUCACACCAUGGAAGUUGGCCACGCCCGAAGCCGUUACUCCAACCCUCGGGAGGAGGACGUCGAAGGUGGGGCUGAUGACUGGGGUGAAGUCGUAACAAGGUAGCCG
rnacentral:rRNA from 1 species